rnacentral:rRNA from 1 species
GAAAGGAUUUAUUCGGUAAAAGAUGGGCCCGCAUCUGAUUAGCUAGUUGGUGAGAUAAUAGCCCACCAAGGCAACGAUCAGUAGCCGACCUGAGAGGGUGACCGGCCACAUUGGGACUGAGACACGGCCCAAACUCCUACGGGAGGCAGCAGUGGGGAAUAUUGCACAAUGGGCGAAAGCCUGAUGCAGCAACGCCGCGUGAAGGAAGACGGUUUUCGGAUUGUAAACUUCUAUCAAUAGGGAAGAAAGAAAUGACGGUACCUGAAUAAGAAGCCCCGGCUAACUACGUGCCAGCAGCCGCGGUAAUACGUAGGGGGCAAGCGUUAUCCGGAAUUACUGGGUGUAAAGGGAGAGUAGGCGGCAAGGUAAGCGAUAUGUGAAAGCCUUAAGCUUAACUUAAGGAUUGCAUAACGAACUAUCUAGCUAGAGUACAGGAGAGGAAAGCGGAAUUCCUAGUGUAGCGGUGAAAUGCGUAGAUAUUAGGAAGAACACCAGUGGCGAAGGCGGCUUUCUGGACUGAAACUGACGCUGAGGCUCGAAAGCGUGGGGAGCGAACAGGAUUAGAUACCCUGGUAGUCCACGCUGUAAACGAUGAGUGCUAGGUGUCGGGGAGGAAUUCCCGGUGCC